rfam:Nicotiana attenuata strain TT chromosome 6, whole genome shotgun sequence.
GUUUCUUCGGAGACAUCCGAUAAACUUGGAACGAUAUAAAAAAAUUUAGCAAAGUCCUUGCGUAAGAAUAACACGCACAAAUCGAGAAAUGGUCUAAACAAUU